UAAAAUUCGUGCUCGCCUCCAUCUCCUCUCAGCUGUGAUCAUGCACAGGUUGAAGUAGAAGUCGGGGGCUCCAGCUCCGGUUCCAAAGGACGACAAAAGUGGUCGCUCCCGUGCACGACUACUCCAUGUAAUCCGGGAGAAAGGUGUGACAAAUGCGACGUUCCUUAUGGUCGAUCGGAUGCAAAGUUUUGCUCGGAAUGCGGUGCCAAGAGAUCGACGCUGCCAACCAAGUAAGAAAGAAGUAAGGUUUAAUCUUCUUCUAUGAUUUCGAUGCGGGAGUUCUCACAAGAAGCCACACGCUUGUGAUCUCGUGUUCUUCCAGGAACAAUUCGCUUCGUGUCAAAGUUUGAAAGAGGAAUAUACUCAUAACCGGAAUCAUUCCUGUCCGAUUC